GAUGAACGCUGACAGAAUGCUUAACACAUGCAAGUCAACUUGAACUUCGGUUUGGGUGGCGGACGGGUGAGUAACGCGUAAAGAACUUGCCUCACAGAUAGGGACAACAUUUGGAAACGAAUGCUAAUACCUGAUAUUAUGAUUAUAUGGCAUCGUAUAAUUAUGAAAGCUAUAUGCGCUGUGAGAGAGCUUUGCGUCCCAUUAGCUAGUUGGAGAGGUAACGGCUCACCAAGGCGAUGAUGGGUAGCCGGCCUGAGAGGGUGAUCGGCCACAAGGGGACGGAGACACGGCCCUUACUCCUACGGGAGGCAGCAGUGGGGAAUAUUGGACAAUGGACCAAGAGUCUGAUCCAGCAAUUCUGUGUGCAAGAUGAAGUUUUUCGGAAUGUAAAGUGCUUUCAGUUGGGAAGAAAAAAAUGACGGUACCAACAGAAGAAGUGACGGCUAAAUACGUG
rnacentral:rRNA from 1 species